ensembl:lncRNA
CUGCUGUCAUGGAUAUCAAACAAUUGCAAACAAAACACAGGUUUAUCACUAAAUUUGUAUCUUUGUUAAAUAUAGUUAUGCAACAAUUAUUGGCAGCCCUAUGAAUUCAUAUCAGAAAAUAUAUUUGAAGUGUAUUCCAACUGAUAUUUUACAUUUUCUUAGUACACCUGUGUGACCAGGAACAGGAAUUUGUUCAACCAUGAUCAGGCAGGGGAGUAGAAUCACUUUUAAUAAAAUGUAAAUUCGUCCCCCGCAAGUUUUCACUGGUCAUUGCCAGUUUGUGUAUAUUUGAUUUCUAUACGUGUACGAUACAAUCCAUUGAGAUAACGUCAGCGUCUGAAUUCGCUCACUCAUUUUCAUUUACUUCUUCCCCAUAUAGUGGAAUCAAAUGUCAUUUGCUAUAUAGGGAAUAGUGAAGAGUGAACGACUCAGACACUAUUUCAGACACAGGUUAAGUAUUUACGUGACAUGACUUUGCCAUGUCUUUUGGUCACUCAUGUCACGUGUCACACCCACGCUGAGCGCACAGAGCGGCAAAGUGGCAAAAGAACAAGUCGAGCAGUGUUAGUUCUUUUGGCAUGUGUGUUGCACAGUGAUGAAUAAUUUGCUACAUGUUUCUUUUUAAAGUCUGCCUAUUUCCACUGAUGAAUAAUUAGCAAGAUUUGAUGGUAAUAUUAGCCUACCCGCAGUCCUGCACAAGCAUGCAUUACUCUUUGGUAAAGUGUAACCCUGACAUUUUUACAUGAAUGUAUAUAAUUCAAUAUAAAAGAGAGAGAACCAUAACAAAAUCAUCCAUAGUAUCAUGGAUAUGUAGUAUUUAAAAAUAUUAAAAGUUAUUAAGUGGUAUGCAUUAACGUUCUGAUAUAGGUCUUAAUUUAUAGUCUUCAGGUUGCCAGGCACUACUGGAACUUCAAAUGGGAUCGGGUUCUAUGGUCAGACGAAACCAAAAUAAAGCUUUUUGGCAAUAAACACCAGAGGUGGUUUUGGCGCACACAGAGAGGCAGCCAUAUGGAAAAGUACCUCAUGCCCACGGUUAAAUAUGGUGGUGGCUCUUUAAUGUUUUGGGGCUGUUGUUCUGCCAGAGGACCUGGACAUUUAGGAUACAUGACAAUAUUAGGACAAUGAUCCAAAACGUACAUCAAUAUCAACACAAAAAUGGUUUACUGACCAGAAAAUCAAGGUCCUGCCAUGACCAUCCCAGUCCCCUGACUCGAAACCCAUAAACCCAUAGAAAACCUGUGGGGUGAACUGAAGAGGAGAGUCCACCAGUAUGGAACUCAAAAUCUUAAGGAUCUGGAGAGAUUCUAUAGAGGAAUGGUCUCAGAUUUAGAAGUUUCAGUUUAAGCAUUGGAUAUGUCUUCUAUGUUCUAUUGUGAAUAACCUGCAUUUAUGAGAUUUGAAUUCUGUUUUAAUUUACAUUUUACAGUGUUCCAACUUUUUGGAAUUGGGGUUGUGUGUACGUGCGUGUGUUUGUGUGUGUGUGUGUG